GAGAAAAUGUCCGUUUCUUCAAAGUUCCAACCAUUAGGAAAGACACAAGAGGAGAGAUGAUCAACUACCUUGUCUUGUCUGGAUUCUUCUCUUUCUGGAGCACAGGAACCAAAAAUCUGGCUGGGAUGGAGAACAAAGGGAACUGGAGACUUCCUCCUAACUGCAAGACUUCUAGCCACUCCCUCCUGAGGAGAGCAUGUCUCCAUAGAAUGGACAUACCUCCCUGCUCUCUCUGGGGAGCUGCUCUAAGUGGAAGAAUGAAUGCAGGAGCUAGAUUUACCAGCAACAACUCCUCAUCUAAAAGAAGAAAAACGGGGGGGGGGGACACAUUUAAAAUACUUUUCUGUCAAAAAUACUGUCUGUGAUCCGAGCUCCAUCCUUGACUAAUUAAAUGGUGUAAAAGGAAAACCAA